CCUACGGGAGGCAGCAGUGGGGAAUUUUGGACAAUGGGCGCAAGCCUGAUCCAGCAAUGCCGCGUGCAGGAUGAAGGCCUUCGGGUUGUAAACUGCUUUUGUACGGAACGAAACGGCCCUUUCUAAUACAAGGGGCUAAUGACGGUACCGUAAGAAUAAGCACCGGCUAACUACGUGCCAGCAGCCGAGGUAAUACGUAGGGUGCGAGCGUUAAUCGGAAUUACUGGGCGUAAAGCGUGCGCAGGCGGUUAUAUAAGACAGAUGUGAAAUCCCCGGGCUCAACCUGGGACCUGCAUUUGUGACUGUAUAGCUAGAGUACGGUAGAGGGGGAUGGAAUUCCGCGUGUAGCAGUGAAAUGCGUAGAUAUGCGGAGGAACACCGAUGGCGAAGGCAAUCCCCUGGACCUGUACUGACGCUCAUGCACGAAAGCGUGGGGAGCAAACAGGAUUAGAUACCCUGGUAGUCCACGCCCUAAACGAUGUCAACUGGUUGUUGGGUCUUCACUGACUCAGUAACGAAGCUAACGCGUGAAGUUGACCGCCUGGGGAGUACGGCGCAAGAUUGAAACUUAAAGAGUAGUGACGUGAGAGAGCGACGAGACACAGGAGGAGGAGG
rnacentral:rRNA from 1 species